ACCGUGCAAAGGUAGCAUAAUCAUUAGUUUUUUAAUUGAAAGCUGGUAUGAAUGGUUGGACGAGAGAGCAACUGUCUCAAUUUAAUUGAUUUAAAAUUUUAUCUUUAAGUUAAAAAGCUUAAAUAAAUUUAAAAGACGAGAAGACCCUAUAGAGUUUUAUAUAUAUGUAUAUAUGAAGAGUUUAGAAUUUAUUAUUUAUAGAUUUAUAUGUAUUUUGUUGGGGUGACAAAAAAAUUAAAUGAACUUUUUUUAUAUUUUAUCAUUAAUGUAUGAUUAAGUGAUCCGUUAUUAACGAUUAAAAGAUUAAAUUACCUUAGGGAUAACAGCGUAAUUCUUUUUAAGAGUUCUUAUCGAAAGAAGAGUUU
rnacentral:rRNA from 1 species